rnacentral:rRNA from 1 species
UGCCGUAACUUCGGGAGAAGGCACGCUGACACGUAGGUGAAGUGAUUUACUCAUGGAGCUGAAGUCAGUCGAAGAUACCAGCUGGCUGCAACUGUUUAUUAAAAACACAGCACUGUGCAAACACGAAAGUGGACGUAUACGGUGUGACGCCUGCCCGGUGCCGGAAGGUUAAUUGAUGGGGUCAGCGCAAGCGAAGCUCCUGAUCGAAGCCCCGGUAAACGGCGGCCGUAACUAUAACGGUCCUAAGGUAGCGAAAUUCCUUGUCGGGUAAGUUCCGACCUGCACGAAUGGCGUAAUGAUGGCCAGGCUGUCUCCACCCGAGACUCAGUGAAAUUGAACUCGCUGUGAAGAUGCAGUGUACCCGCGGCAAGACGGAAAGACCCCGUGAACCUUUACUAUAGCUUGACACUGAACAUUGAGCCUUGAUGUGUAGGAUAGGUGGGAGGCUUUGAAGUGUGGACGCCAGUCUGCAUGGAGCCGGCCUUGAAAUACCACCCUUUAAUGUUUGAUGUUCUAACGUGGACCCGUGAUCCGGGUUGCGGACAGUGUCUGGUGGGUAGUUUGACUGGGGCGGUCUCCUCCUAAAGAGUAACGGAGGAGCACGAAGGUUGGCUAAUCCUGGUCGGACAUCAGGAGGUUAGUGCAAUGGCAUAAGCCAGCUUGACUGCGAGCGUGACGGCGCGAGCAGGUGCGAAAGCAGGUCAUAGUGAUCCGGUGGUUCUGAAUGGAAGGGCCAUCGCUCAACGGAUAAAAGGUACUCCGGGGAUAACAGGCUGAUACCGCCCAAGAGUUCAUAUCGACGGCGGUGUUUGGCACCUCGAUGUCGGCUCAUCACAUCCUGGGGCUGAAGUAGGUCCCAAGGGUAUGGCUGUUCGCCAUUUAAAGUGGUACGCGAGCUGGGUUUAGAACGUCGUGAGACAGUUCGGUCCCUAUCUGCCGUGGGCGCUGGAGAACUGAGGGGGGCUGCUCCUAGUACGAGAGGACCGGAGUGGACGCAUCACUGGUGUUCGGGUUGUCAUGCCAAUGGCACUGCCCGGUAGCUAAAUGCGGAAGAGAUAAGUGCUGAAAGCAUCUAAGCACGAAACUUGCCCCGAGAUGAGUUCUCCCUGAGACUUUAGGUCUCCUGAAGGAACGUUGAAGACGACGACGUUGAUAGGCCGGGUGUGUAAGCGCAGCGAUGCGUUGAGCUAACCGGUACUAAUGAACCGUGAGGCUUAACCUU